UACGUAGGUGGCAAGCGUUGUCCGGAUUUACUGGGCGUAAAGAGCGCGCAGGCGGUCGUUCAAGUCGAGUGUGAAAGCCCCCGGCUCAACUGGGGAGGGUCACUCGAUACUGAUCGACUCGAAGGCAGAAGAGGGAAGCGGAAUUCCCGGUGUAGUGGUGAAAUGCGUAGAUAUCGGGAGGAACACCGGUGGCGAAGGCGGCGAUCUGGGUCGAGUACUGACGCUGAGGUGCGAAAGCGUGGGGAGCAAACAGGG
rnacentral:rRNA from 1 species